rnacentral:rRNA from 1 species
GACGAACGCUGGCGGCGUGCUUAACACAUGCAAGUCGAACGGAAAGGCCCUGCUUUUGUGGGGUGCUCGAGUGGCGAACGGGUGAGUAACACGUGAGUAACCUGCCCUUGACUUUGGGAUAACUUCAGGAAACUGGGGCUAAUACCGGAUAGGAGCUCCUGCUGCAUGGUGGGGGUUGGAAAGUUUCGGCGGUUGGGGAUGGACUCGCGGCUUAUCAGCUUGUUGGUGGGGUAGUGGCUUACCAAGGCUUUGACGGGUAGCCGGCCUGAGAGGGUGACCGGCCACAUUGGGACUGAGAUACGGCCCAGACUCCUACGGGAGGCAGCAGUGGGGAAUAUUGCACAAUGGGCGGAAGCCUGAUGCAGCAACGCCGCGUGCGGGAUGACGGCCUUCGGGUUGUAAACCGCUUUCGCCUGUGACGAAGCGUGAGUGACGGUAAUGGGUAAAGAAGCACCGGCUAACUACGUGCCAGCAGCCGCGGUGAUACGUAGGGUGCGAGCGUUGUCCGGAUUUAUUGGGCGUAAAGGGCUCGUAGGUGGUUGAUCGCGUCGGAAGUGUAAUCUUGGGGCUUAACCCUGAGCGUGCUUUCGAUACGGGUGACUGAGAAGGUAGGGAGAAUGGAUUCCUGGUGAGCGGUGAAUGCGCAGAUAUCAGGAGAACCCCAGGGGCGAGGCGGUUCUCUGGCCCUUUCCUGACGCUGAGGAGCGAAAGCGUGGGAGCGAACAGGCUUAGAUACCCUGGUAGUCCACGCUGUAAACGGUGGGUACUAGGUGUGGGGUCCAUUCCACGGGUUCCGUGCCGUAGCUAACGCUUUAAGUACCCCGCCUGGGGAGUACGGCCGCAAGGCUAAAACUCAAAGGAAUUGACGGGGCCCCGCACAAGCGGCGGAGCAUGCGGAUUAAUUCGAUGCAACGCGUAGAACCUUACCUGGGUUUGACAUGGAUCGGGAGUGCUCAGAGAUGGGUGUGCCUCUUUUGGGGUCGGUUCACAGGUGGUGCAUGCCUGUCGUCAGCUCGUGUCGUGAGAUGUUGGGUUAAGUCCCGCAACGAGCGCAACCCUUGUUCACUGUUGCCAGCACGUUAUGGUGGGGACUCAGUGGAGACCGCCGGGGUCAACUCGGAGGAAGGUGGGGAUGACGUCAAGUCAUCAUGCCCCUUAUGUCCAGGGCUUCACGCAUGCUACAAUGGCUGGUACAGAGAGUGGCGAGCCUGUGAGGGUGAGCGAAUCUCGGAAAGCCGGUCUCAGUUCGGAUUGGGGUCUGCAACUCGACCUCAUGAAGUCGGAGUCGCUAGUAAUCGCAGAUCAGCAACGCUGCGGUGAAUACGUUCCCGGGGCU